rnacentral:piRNA from 1 species
UAAAAGCAAUAGGGAUCCAUGUCCCUCCAGA